rnacentral:rRNA from 1 species
UACGGAGGGGGCUAGCGUUGUUCGGAAUUACUGGGCGUAAAGCGCACGUAGGCGGCUUUGUAAGUUAGAGGUGAAAGCCCGGGGCUCAACUCCGGAAUUGCCUUUAAGACUGCAUCGCUAGAAUUGUGGAGAGGUAAGUGGAAUUCCGAGUGUAGAGGUGAAAUUCGUAGAUAUUCGGAGGAACACCAGUGGCGAAGGCGGCUCACUGGCUCGAUACUGACGCUGAGGCACGAAAGCGUGGGGAGCAAACAGG